GUUCCCAUUGGAAUGCUCGACAUAAUGUUUCCAAAAUCUACUACCAUCCAUUGGAGGUGGGUGUGAUUCCCAUGAGCAUUCAAAAUAGGAUUUGUGCCUCCUAAACCCCAAAGUGGGUGGGAGUUCUAGUUUGGAUGUGCAUAGGAGUCUGAUCCACGACCAAUGGAUGUUGGGACAUUUUGGAACACAGUCUCCAGCAUUCCCAUGGUUAGACAUCGUCUUUUCCCUAUGAUGGUACGUCGCAUCUCCUUGUUGUAUGAAGUGCUUUAUUCUGGCAUUUAGGUUCCUCCUGUGGUGCUCCCCCUUCCUUCACAAGGACAGAGCAUGGAAAGGCAUCCCCAUCCUAGAAUGGUACCAAACCCAUCGCACCGAACACAAGUGGUAAGCAUGGCAGAGUUUUUCUCAUUACGAUACCAAACAUAUUGUACCAGGCAUAAUUAUUAGCGAUGAGAGGAAGGCUUACUCAAAAUAGUUUUGGAACAUUGGAAAACAUAUAAUGAUGCACUGGUUGUGAAAAUUAGAUUACAUGACCUUGUUAAAACAAUAAGGUUAGUGCCUGGAGAUGAAUUAUUUGUUGUCAUUGUUAAUAGCAUGCUACACAGGCUAUUUCUGUAAUGGAUGGAGAUGAUUGAUAUGUUCUUGGUUACCGAAGCAUGGGAGACGAUGAGAACUCGAGUGGAGGUUUUGAUAUAUGUUUUGGAAGCCAAUGAGUGGGUUCCUGGUUUAAAG